AACAUAGAAGGUAGAAGUCUUGUUAAUAUGCAAAUUGUGGAAGAGUUGACUGCUGAAGCAUUACCUUCUGAGCAGCUUAUUUUGUCAACUUGAGAAACCCACAGGCUAUGAGUCUUCUGGUCAUGUGGCUUUAAGUCACUUAACUUGGUGCAUGCCCUUUCUAACUUGACCUUCUGCAAGAUGCUGACAUCCGGGUGAUUUUCUGGGCAUCUGCAGCUCCCUGGCCUCCCUUUCUGGGCGAUCCUUGCUGCUUCUUGGUGAAGAAAUUGAGACGUUAAGGAAGAGCACCAGACAAUUGAGCAUAAACAGCAAAUGCAAGAUUCAAACCCAUGCCCAUGACCCCGGAGCUAUUAACCACCGUGCUCAAAUACCUCCCUGCUUGGGGCCUGGUAGAACUGAGCAAGACCAAACACAAAGAUGUGACAUUGGCAGAUGUGACGCUGGCGAUUGAAAGCUGAGACUUGUAUAAAGACUCAAAGGAGUGGAAGAUGUCAAGACAUCUUGCUCAUCUCUCUGCCUGUGAACAUAUCUGAGUGGGACCCUCGGCAACUGGACCUUUAUUCUGUUGUGGCCUUGGCCCUCAUUUCCCUGAUGUCCUUCUUCUCGGAUACGCUUGGAUGGCUCAGAUCCUGUAGAUUUUAAAACCUCAAAGCCUACUCUCUAAACACUGCCUUCCAACCGGUGGCCAAGUGUUUGUCUGUCCUCCUUCACAGUGUACCUGGCGCCCAUCCCUGCCUUUCUGCAUCUUCUGCCCCUGCCUUGUUUCAAGUUCUCACCCCCUCCUUCAAGAGACCCCAUUGUGAGCCUUCCGCCUCCGGUCCCUGGCCUUUGAGGCUCUCUUGCACACUGGCACCAGAUUCGUCUUCCCAAAGCUUGGCUUUGGUGGUGUCAUGCUUCUUCAAAACCUCUGCUGCUUCUCAUUGGGUAAGACAAACGUCUUAGCUUGGCAUCGGAUGAUGUUGCAACAGUAUUUCCCCACGACCUAGUCUCCUCUGACUCAAAGCAAC
rnacentral:lncRNA from 1 species